GAAGAAUGGUGUGAUUUUUGCUGCAUUUGCACCUGCACCUACAUCGAAGGAACGAUAGAAGCACUGCACCUAUUUCAUCAAUUAUCGUCAUGCAGGCUUCUUGAUCCUCCUCCUAAGCUGCUUAGGUGCAGUGGCAGAUGCAGGUGUAUCACAGGAAUUUUC